ensembl:antisense Gm15687 predicted gene 15687
GGGAUCCCAGGAAAGGGGCAGCAGAGACCAGAGAGGAAGGUAAAUGGAGCAUGGUGGCUGCCCGAAGAGCUGGUGCAACACAUGGAACAAUCUCACCUUCCUGCUGAUUCCCUCCCACCUUCCUGCUGAUUCCCUUACUGAUGAAGACGAUUCCUGCACACAGUGAAGUCCACUGGGCCUAUGUUCCUGACCCACCACUGAUACACUUCUUGGAUCUCCCUGGGCAAGGGAGUCAACUUAUAAUAAAACCAUGACUUUCAAUGCA